rnacentral:rRNA from 1 species
UACGUAGGGGGCAAGCGUUGUCCGGAAUCAUUGGGCGUAAAGAGCGUGUAGGCGGCUCGGUAAGUCCGCUGUAAAAGUCCAGGGCUCAACCCUGGAAAGCCGGUGGAAACUGUCGAGCUAGAGUCCGGAAGAGGCGAGUGGAAUUCCUGGUGUAGCGGUGAAAUGCGCAGAUAUCAGGAGGAACACCAAUGGGGAAGGCAGCUCGCUGGGACGGUACUGACGCUGAGACGCGAAAGCGUGGGGAGCAAACAGG